UACACUCCUGCGGGAGGCAACAGUGGGGAAUAUUGGACAAUGGGCGCAAGCCUGAUCCAGCCAUGCCGCGUGAGUGAUGAAGGCCCUAGGGUUGUAAAGCUCUUUCACCGGUGAAGAUAAUGACGGUAACCGGAGAAGAAGCCCCGGCUAACUUCGUGCCAGCAGCCGCGGUAAUACGAAGGGGGCUAGCGUUGUUCGGAUUUACUGGGCGUAAAGCGCACGUAGGCGGACUAUUAAGUCAGGGGUGAAAUCCCGGGGCUCAACCCCGGAACUGCCUUUGAUACUGGUAGUCUUGAGUUCGAGAGAGGUGAGUGGAAUUCCGAGUGUAGAGGUGAAAUUCGUAGAUAUUCGGAGGAACACCAGUGGCGAAGGCGGCUCACUGGCUCGAUACUGACGCUGAGGUGCGAAAGCGUGGGGAGCAAACAGGAUUAGAAACCCGUGUAGUCCCU
rnacentral:rRNA from 1 species